rnacentral:rRNA from 1 species
CGCGUAGGCGGCUUUGUAAGUCGGAUGUGAAAGCCCCGGGCUUAACCUGGGAAUUGCAUUCGAUACUGCGAAGCUAGAGUAUGGUAGAGGGAAGUGGAAUUCCGGGUGUAGCGGUGAAAUGCGUAGAUAUCCGGAGGAACACCAGUGGCGAAGGCGACUUCCUGGGCCAAUACUGACGCUGAGGUGCGAAAGCGUGGGGAGCAAACA